rnacentral:rRNA from 1 species
UAGGGAAGAAUUUUGACGGUACCUGACGAAUAAGGGGUUGCUAACUCUGUGCCAGCAGCAGCGGUAAUACAGAGACCCCGAGCAUUAUCCGGAAUUACUGGGCGUAAAGAGCGAGUAGCCGGUUGUAUUAGUCUGAUGUUAAAUCCCAAGGCUUAACUUUGGGACCGCGUCGGAAACGGUACGACUAGAGCAGCUGAGAGGUAAGCGGAACGUGCAGUGUAGGGGUGAAAUCCAUUGAUAUUGCACGGAACACCAAAAGCGAAGGCAGCUUACUGGCAGUUUGCUGACGGUCAAUCGCGAAAGCGUGGGGAUCAAAAAGGAUUAGAUACCCUUGUAGUCCACGCCCUAAACUAUGCACAUUAGCUAUUGGGAGCAUCGACCCUUCCAGUGGCGUAGCCAACGCGUUAAAUGUGCCGCCUGGGAAGUACGAGCGCAAGCUUAAAACUCAAAGAAAUAGGCGGGAAUUCGCACAAGCAGUGGAUCAUGUGGUUCAAUUCGACUCUAACCGAGGAACCUCACCAAGGUUUGAAACUCAGCUGCAUACUCUGGAAACAGAGUAGCCUUCGAGGGUGCUGAGCAGGUGCUGCACGGCUGUCGUCAGCUCGUCACGUGAGUGGUCUCCUUAAGUGGAUUAACGAGCGCAACCCGCAUCGUCUGUUACAAGUGUCAGACGAAACUGCUUUCGUAAGAAAGAGGAAGGUGCGGACGACGUCAAGUCAGCGUGGCCCUCUGAUACCUUGGGCUACACACAUGAUACAAUGGAUGUUACAAUGGGUCGCCAAACCGCGAGGUGGAGCUAAUCCCAUCAAAGGCAUCCCCAGUUCGGAUAGGAGGCUGAAACUUGCCUCCUUGAAGCCGGAAUUGCUAGUAAUCGCAGAUCAGCAUGCUGCGGUGAAUACGUUCUCGAAUUUUGCACUCACUGCCCGUCAAGUCAAGGGAGUCGGUAAUACCUGAAGACCCAUAUUAUACAUGGGGACACGGUAGGAUCGAUGACAGGGACUAAGUCGUAACAAGGCAAGGGUAGCGGAAGCUGCUCUUGGAUCACCUCCUU